rnacentral:rRNA from 1 species
UACGAAGGGGGCUAGCGUUGCUCGGAAUCACUGGGCGUAAAGCGCACGUAGGCGGAUUGCUAAGUCAGGGGUGAAAUCCUGGAGCUCAACUCCAGAACUGCCUUUGAUACUGGCGAUCUUGAGUCCGGAAGAGGAGAGUGGAAUUCCUGGUGUAGCGGUGAAAUGCGCAGAUAUCGGGAGGAACACCAAUUGCGAAGGCGGCUCUCUGGGACGGUACUGACGCUGAGACGCGAAAGCGUGGGGAGCGAACAGG